rnacentral:rRNA from 1 species
UGCAAGUCGAACGGGAAGCCACCUUCGGGUGGUGGAGAGUGGCGCACGGGUGAGUAACACGUAGCUGACCUGCCCCGGAGAGGGGAAUAACCGGUGGAAACAGCGGCUAAAACCUCAUGAUCCCGCCCUGACUGAGUAGGGGCGAGCAAACACUACGGUGCUCUAGGAUGGGGCUGCGGGCCAUCAGCUGGUUGGUGUGGUAACGGCGCACCAAGGCGAUGACGGCUAGGGGGCCUGAGAGGGUGACCCCCCACACUGGGACUGAGACACGGCCCACACUCCUACGGGAGGCAGCAGUCAGGAAUAUUGCGCAAUGGACGAAAGUCUGACGCAGCGACGCCGCGUGGGUGAUGAAGGCCUUCGGGUUGUAAAGCCCUUUUCUGCGUGACGAGGAAGGACGGUAGCGCAGGAAUAAGUCUCGGCUAACUACGUGCCAGCAGCCGCGGCAAAACGUAGGAGGCGAACGUUAUCCGGAAUUACUGGGCGUAAAGGGCGCGCAGGUGGCAGAUUAAGUCGGUCGUGAAAGCUCCCGGCUAAACUGGGAGAGGUCGGACGAUACUGGUCUGCUCGAGGGCGACAGAGGAGCGUAGAAUUCAGCGUGUAGUGGUGAAAUGCGUAGAGAUGCUGAGGAAUACCAGAGGCGAAGGCGGCGCUCUGGGUCGCACCUGACACUGAGGCGCGAAAGCACGGGGAGCGAACGGGAUUAGAAACCCCGGUAGUCCGUGCCGUAAACGAUGCCUACUAGACGUUCGAUCCUCUGCGGAGGGUUGGGUAUCGUAUCUAACGCGUUAAGUAGGCCGCCUGGGGACUACGGCCGCAAGGCUAAAACUCAAAGGAAUUGAC